GUAUAAAAAUAAUUGCAGAGAAACAGGUGAAAAGCACUUGAUCCAAGGAGGUGAAGACAUAAUAAUCAACAAAUACAAGAAAAUAGACAAUGAUCCACUGCAACCUUGCCGUUUCUCUCCUUCUGCUAUCGCUUAGUGUCAGUGGCACCACAAACCGGUCGGAGCUGCAAUGUGCCCAUUCGAUCAGAGUGCCACGAAGCACAGUGUUUAGAGCUCGUGUUAUGACAAAGUUGAAGAUAAACUGUACUGUUACUCAACGCGAAGGAUGUCGCAGGAGCCCACAAGUCUCAUGGUGCAAAAUCUAUGAAAAUGACUGUAAAGCUUUAAAUCACUCAAAU